rnacentral:lncRNA from 1 species
UUCGAACCGGGGUCCAGGAUACCGGUCUCGGUGGCGGUGUCCUGGCGCCAGGCAGCCUAGGGAACGCUGUCGCCCUGGGCGCUGUCUGGAGGUGUCAACUUGUGUGACAUCUCGACCAUUAUAUGGACCCGGACCCUGGGCCCCGAGAACCAGGCGAGAGAAAUUGUGCUGGAGGUUCGCACGGACACGGCGCCGGAACCUACUGGCUUCCCAGGGUCCUAGCAUGGGCUCUUCCCGCACCCCGGUAGCGGGUCAUGGGCUUUGCUUAAGACCACGUCUCCCCAGAUUCGGUCCCUCGCGCUACACCUUUACAGUCCGCCUACAUCUGUACUAGAUACCAAAUGUUAAAUGUUUUUCUUUAAACUGACUCUGACCCCCCUCUCCCCCUUAAAUGCAUUUGUUUAAGGCGGAAAUUUGAACCCCAAACGAUAUAAUGGAAAGCCAGUUAUUUCUCUAACGCUCAUAAAAAAAAGAAUAAAUAC